rnacentral:rRNA from 1 species
CGNCUANCAUGCAAGUCGAACGAUGAAGCCCAGCUUGCUGGGCGGAUUAGUGGCGAACGGGUGAGUAAUACGUGAGUAACCUGCCUUUAACUCUGGGAUAAGCCUUGGAAACGGGGUCUAAUACCGGAUACGACCAACCCUCGCAUGGGGUGUUGGUGGAAAGGGAUUUUGUACUGGUUUUAGAUGGGCUCACGGCCUAUCAGCUUGUUGGUGAGGUAACGGCUCACCAAGGCGACGACGGGUAGCCGGCCUGAGAGGGUGACCGGCCACACUGGGACUGAGACACGGCCCAGACUCCUACGGGAGGCAGCAGUGGGGAAUAUUGCACAAUGGGCGCAAGCCUGAUGCAGCGACGCCGCGUGAGGGAUGACGGCCUUCGGGUUGUAAACCUCUUUCAGCAGGGGAGAAGCGAAAGUGACGGUACCUGCAGAAGAAGCGCCGGCUAACUACGUGCCAGCAGCCGCGGUAAUACGUAGGGCGCGAGCGUUGUCCGGAAUUAUUGGGCGUAAAGAGCUUGUAGGCGGUUUGUCGCGUCUGCUGUGAAAGCCCGGGGCUUAACCCCGGGUUUGCAGUGGGUACGGGCAGACUAGAGUGCAGUAGGGGAGACUGGAAUUCCUGGUGUAGCGGUGAAAUGCGCAGAUAUCAGGAGGAACACCAAUGGCGAAGGCAGGUCUCUGGGCUGUAACUGACGCUGAGAAGCGAAAGCAUGGGGAGCGAACAGGAUUAGAUACCCUGGUAGUCCAUGCCGUAAACGUUGGGCACUAGGUGUGGGGAACAUUCCACGUUUUCCGCGCCGUAGCUAACGCAUUAAGUGCCCCGCCUGGGGAGUACGGCCGCAAGGCUAAAACUCAAAGAAAUUGACGGGGGCCCGCACAAGCGGCGGAGCAUGCGGAUUAAUUCGAUGCAACGCGAAGAACCUUACCAAGGCUUGACAUAUACUAGACCGCCUCAGAGAUGGGGUUUCCCUUCGGGGCUGGUAUACAGGUGGUGCAUGGUUGUCGUCAGCUCGUGUCGUGAGAUGUUGGGUUAAGUCCCGCAACGAGCGCAACCCUCGUUCUAUGUUGCCAGCACGUAAUGGUGGGGACUCAUAGGAGACUGCCGGGGUUAACUCGGAGGAAGGUGGGGAUGACGUCAAAUCAUCAUGCCCCUUAUGUCUUGGGCUUCACGCAUGCUACAAUGGCCGGUACAAAGGGUUGCGAUACUGUGAGGUUGAGCUAAUCCCAAAAAGCCGGUCUCAGUUCGGAUUGGGGUCUGCAACUCGACCCCAUGAAGUCGGAGUCGCUAGUAA